AGGAAACUUAUAGGAGCAAGGUACUUUAGCAAAGGCCACGAAGCUGCAGAAACACAUGAUUCUUCAAACCACACCGCGCGAGAUUAUGAUGGCCAUGGAACCCACACUCUAUCCACUGCUGGAGGUCGUUUUGUUUCGGGGGCAAACUUGCUUGGUUCAGCUUAUGGAACAGCUAAGGGAGGUUCGCCCAGCUCGCGAGUCGCUUCAUACAAGGUCUGCUGGCCCCGCUGUAGCGAUGCUGAUGUGUUGGCUGGCUAUGAAGCUGCUAUUCAUGAUGGGGUCGAUAUCCUCUCAGUGUCACUUGGAUCCGGUCCGAGAGAAUACAUUACUCAUGGGAAUGCAAUUGGAGCAUUUCUUGCUAUGGAGCGCGGGAUUCUUGUGGUUGCCUCGGCUGGAAAUGAAGGACCUGACCCUGGAGUCGUAGGGAAUGUAGCUCCCUGGAUUCUUACAGUUGCUUGUAGCACUAUCAGUAGGGAGUUCACAUCUAAUGUCAUCCUCGGAAAUAACAAACAAUACAAGGUUCGUUCUGUAAGCUCAUAUCUUUAGCAAGUCCUUGUAAAUUGUUCUACCUAUCAUGGGAUCCAAGAAUUUGCUAUAUUAAUUUCUAGAUAAUCAGGGUAUGAGUUUUAAUACCAACACUCAACCAGCUGGGAAGUUUUACCCCUUGAUCAAUUCGGUGGAUGCUAAAGCUGCCAAUGUUUCCAGUAAUCAAGCGUAAGCAGCAAACUAAUUUUGUUCUCAGCCAAAAUUACAUUUUCUGUAGUUGUUAGGUUCAUAUUUCUUAUCUUGUUGUCUUUGGCAGAAAAUAUUGCUCCAUCGGAUCCCUUGACCCCUUGAAAGUUAAAGGAAAAAUCGUAUAUUGUACUCGCAAAAGAUCCUGAUGUAGAAAAGAGUCUGGUUGUUUCUCAAGCUGGUGGUGUUGGGGUGAUACUUGCUAAUCAAUUGAUAAUUCAACAAAUCCGACCUCGGGCACACUUUGUUCCUACUUCCGUUGUCUCUGCAGACGAUGGACUUUCCAUUUUAACUUAUGUCUAUAGUACAAAGUAAGGUCUAUGUAAUAGAUAAUUCAGACAAUUAAACUUUGUUGAUUUCAGUCGAUAAUGCCCUGAACAAUCUAUCGUUUGUGAUCCUGUGAAUCUCUUGGAACUUCUCUUUUCACUCAGGUCACCUGUAGCUUACAUAAGUGGCGCCACGAAGGUGGGAACAGUGGCUGCACCUGUCAUGGCUGAUUUUUCAUCUCCUGGGCCUAACUUCAUCACCCCAGAGAUCCUUAAGGUACGUACUCUUAAUAGCUUCACAUGAGCGUUUUAAAAUACAUGAUCAAUAUUAUUUUUAUAGUGAGAGUGCAUAUGUGAUGAUUUCAGCCCGACAUCACUGCACCUGGAGUCAAUAUUCUAGCUGCCUUCACCGGAGCAUCAGGGCCAACUGCUGUGCCAGGAGACCGGCGCCGAGUACAUUUCAACUUUUUAUCUGGAACCUCAAUGGCAUGCCCCCAUGUUUCCGGAAUCGCUGGUCUUCUCAAAACUAUUCACCCUGAUUGGAGUCCUGCUGCAAUUAAAUCUGCAAUCAUGACAACAGGUUAGUGCUUUUCUGCUCUUCGCAUUAGCAUCUCCAAGUGCUUCUCUUCUGAUAGCUUGAGUGGUUGCUUAUGACAUUUCAGCGACAACGAUCAGUAAUGUGAAGCAGCCUAUCGCGAAUGCUUCUCUUCUUGAGGCAACCCCAUUGAAUUAUGGUGCCGGGCACAUAUGGCCUAGCCGUGCAAUGGACCCAGGCCUGGUCUAUGACCUAACGACUAAAGAUUACGUGAAUUUUCUAUGCUCCAUUGGCUAUAACUCAACCCAGUUGUCACUUUUUAUUGGUAAGCCAUACAUAUGCCCGUCGCAGAACAAUGGUCUGCUGGAUUUCAACUAUCCAUCCAUUACUGUCCCGAAUCUCUCAAGCAAUAAGACCACGUUGUCCCGAACCUUGAAGAACGUGGGGACUCCAAGCUUGUAUAGAGUUAAUAUCAGGGCACCUGGAGGCAUAUCUGUGAAGGUUGAGCCAAGAAGCUUGAAGUUCGAUAAGAUAAACGAAGAGAAAAUGUUCAAGGUCACUCUAGAGGCCAAGAAAGGGUUUAAGAGUAAUGACUAUGUGUUUGGAGAGAUAACCUGGUCUGAUGGGAAACACCAUGUGAGGAGUCCUGUUGUGGUGAAGAAGAUGGAAGUAGCAGCCUAAGGUUGAAGGACACUGACCAGGCGUCUGGAUUUGUAGGUGGAAGGCCAGCGUGUAGAGAUCUAUAUAUCUCCAUGGUCACCAAAUCGAUCUUCAAAUUCCCGUUCCAUGUCAUGACAAGUAUCGAAUGUCACCAAAUCGUGUCAUUUUUUUUAUGCCACUAAUCUAGUGAUUGAACUAAGAAAAUAAAAAUAAAAAUAAAUGGUUUUGUUUUAGAAUAUUUUGGAAUGGUUUUUGGUUUUUAUCUACUUUCUAUUGAUUUUGUUUAGUUGCUUUAGUAUUUUUGUUUUUCUAUUUAUAUGUUAUUUAUGGCUCUGUUUUUUACCUUUUGUUGUGUGACAACUGAUUAGGUUACUGUGCAUUAAGUUUUUUGAGAGUGCAGGUAAUGCUGUGAAGCCUAGCUUACCAUCUUUCAUUUAUUAACAAAAUCUUAUGAUAAAGACAUUCAAUUGUCAUAUCCCUCAAUUGGAGAACAAAAGGAUAUCCAUACAUUUUGUAGGUGUCAAAAAAUAUGAAAGAUCUAUUUAUGUUAUUUAUUUACCUUAGUUUUUUUUUAGGCUUAAUAAUUCUAUCUAGAAAAAUUAUUUCUAGUAUCUAAUUAAUAACAUAUUGCACUGCGAUUAAGCUAACAAUGAAUGAAUUCCCACAAAGAUUUAUCUACUUAUCGUGGCUUUUUUUUUUCUUCUCUUUAGGCUUCAUAAUUGUACCCAAGAAAAUCACAUAUUGCAUUACAAUUAAGUUAAUGAUGAAUGAAUUCCUACAAAGACCUUUUACCGAAGAAUGUGACCAUCUUAAGAGGUAGUAUAACAUCAUAAUUUUCUAAAAUAUCUUAGGUGUUGUUUUUGAACAAGUAUAUCCAAUUCAAACAUAAUAGUAAUAUAUAUUAUUUGGAAAAUUCUACGUUCAAUUUGUUCUUUGUCACUUAACUUUUUUUAUUCUUAAUUUAAUCAUUUCACAUUAAAUUAAUUUAGGAUUGAGUUUAAUGUUUUAUUUCAGUUGGGCUCUAGCGAUAUUAAUAAUAAGUUUUGAUGUUAAGUUGAUGAUUAAUUUGGUAAAAUAAAAUUUAAAUUUAUUGAUUCAAAUCAAUUAAAAUGUCAACGACUUAAUUUUAAACUGUAAAUACUCAGUCUUUUUUUCUUUAAAAAAUAAUAUUUUUAUUUCAACUUUCUAACUCAAUUUUUAAUUGAAACUAACAUAUAUAACGCAUGAAUACAUCAAACUACAGCAACAAAAGAGCAGUCUUUUGUUGUAGAGUAUGAACAUAAAAUUAAACAGUCUUCUCUAAUUUAGAGCAUAAAAUAAAAUCGAUGUGCUAAUAGCUAACCAUAAACAGACAUAUUGAGGAAUUAAACUGCUGGCAUGGUCAUACCCUCCUGUUGAUAUAAUUGGGUCAAAUGGAAUAUUUAUUUUAAGCAAAAGCAAGAAAAAAGUAGUCUAAAAUAUGAUAAAGUAGUAGUAGUUGUGUUAAGCAAAAAGGAAGAAAUGUUGUCUUAUCAUCCCACGUUUUUGCCUGCAUGGACCGACGGAUCGCCUGCGAGAAGAAUGCUUUUUUUUUUUUUAAAGCAUUCUUCUCAUAGGCGAUCCGUCGAUCUAUGCUUGAACAUGUAAGAAAAGUAAACCUAAUGUAUUCUCGGAUCUUUUAUUAUUAUUAUUAUAAAGAAUAAGUUUGAACUCCAUCUUUUUCUAAAAGAAAGGAGAUACGAAUACUAUUACAAAGAAAAAAAAUGAUUGGGAUUUUGAAAUUACUGUAUACCUAGACAUAAUGUAUUGUAAACGGAACAAUAUAAUUAUGUUUUUGCCUUUAUAUAUAGAAAAAAAAAAAACAUUAGACUAGCUAUUGGGAGUAAUACUGAAUUUUUUCAUGGACCAUGUGUUCAUUAUUAUAUUUAUUAGGGACAAUGCAGUCUGUUUACAUUUUUAUAGAACAAUGUAAUGACUAGAAUAACCUUAAAAUCAAAAUAAUUUUAUCUGAAUUUAGAGAUUGACUUGUUUUUUCAUUUUUAUAUGUAUAAUGAGUCUACAUACUUAACCUUGGAUGCAAAUUUUAUUAAACUUGGGAUCGAGGGCUUCUUUGUAUUUUCAUCAUUAUUUUUUAGUUAUAAUAUGGUCAAGUUUGGGGUAACUUGGUAUUUUAGUAAGUGUAAGAAAUAUUUUUUUUAAAAAAAAUGAUUGACGUGUACAACACACACAUUAACGUGUUAGGCGGCAUAUGCGGAUUUAUAUGGUGUUAGAAAAUGGCCAUCCGUGACGGUUAACAAUCCUCUUGGCAUCCCUUUUCUGAUGAAGUGGCGGCGUGUGCAGCGGUGUGGCUCCUACCACUUUUUUUUUUCUUCUCACUUCUCCUUGAAAAACAAGUUACCCAAUCAAAAAUCUAUAUUUUCCUUUUAAUUUUUUUUUUUAAGUUUAUGAUUUAGUUUCCUUUUGAUUAUCUUAUUUUCAUUUUGAUUUUUUUUGAAAACUUUAAAUUUUUUAUUUAUUUUGCCUUUAAUUUAAAUGUUAUUUUUAUUUCAUGUUUGAUUCUCUUUCUUUUGAUUUCUUAUUUAUGUAUUGAUUUUAUUUUUUUUGUAAAAUGUAAGAUUUUUUUCAAAUUCAGCCUAAAAUCAAACAAUGUUAUUUUUAUGCUUUGUCUGUUUUUGUUUAACAUUUGAUCUUUAUUAUUUUAUAUUGCUAUUUUAUUUUAUGGAACCUUUUGUCAAAUUAUUUUUUUUUCUUUCAAUUUCAUCCCUCAAUCUUGGGUUGGUUAGUUAGAAAUUGAGGGUCAUGGUUUUUUUCAAUUGAGUUACACCAGUUUCAUGACUCUGGUAAAAAAUUUAAAAGUUUGGGUCAACUUGGGUGGUGUCGACUUUUUUCCCCCUCUUUUUACACUAAUUUCCUUUUAGUUUUACUCCUUUAAUACUUUAGAUUUGUGAAGUUAUUCGUGUUUUCUUCAAACUCAUUUUUAAAAUCUAACUAGAUUUAUUUCACUCCAUUAUCAUGGUCUCUUGACCUUGAUAGUAAGUUUUUCUAUUUACCUAGGGAUCGCUCUACGUUUUUCUUUUGGAGUUAUCUUUUUAAAAUUGAUUAUUUUUUUCUAGUUUAGUUGUUCAUUAUUUUUCUUUGCAUUUAGGCUCCGUUUGUUUGCAGGAAAGUGAAUUCCUUUUUGAAUUGGAAAGUGAAUUCCGGGAAAGUAUUUUCCGAUGUUUGGUAGUGUUAUGGAAAAUGAACUGGAAAACACUUUCCAGUGUUUGGUUAUGUCAUGGAAAAUGAGCUGGAAAAUAACUUAUUAUAUUUUAUUUUUUUCAAGUUUAUUAAAUAAUGAGGAACAAAUUUACAAUUAAAAAGUUGAAUGAUAAUGAAAUUGAAAAAAAAUAUAAUUUCAUAAAUUAUCUCAAAUAAAACAAAUAAUAAUCAAAUAAUAGGGUCAAAUCUAAAAUUAAAAAAAAAAUGAAAAAUGAAGAAUUAAAUAAUAAUAAUCAACAUUUCAUAAAUUAUUUCAAAUAAAAUAAGUAACAAUCAAAAGAAUGAGGAUCAAAUUUGAUAAAUAAAAAAUUUCAAUAAAAAAUGAUAAGAAAAAAGCAAAUAGCAAUUAUAAAAAUAAGGACAAAGUUAAUAUAAAAUAAAAUUUUAAGAGAUGAAAUUGAAAAAUAAAUAUUCAAAACAAAAUAUAUAUAGUAAUCAAAAGUUUGAGGAUCAAAUUUGAUAUAAUCAGCAAAUAAUGGCAUUUCUAAAUUUUUCACAACUUCCGGAAAGUGUUUUCCCCUCAAAUUUUUCAGGAAAACACUUUCCUGAAAACCAAGCCAAAUUUUCCUUUUACUGGAAAGUGUUUUCCAUUGACCAACUUUCCUACUGGCAAAUAAACACAAGAAAGUUUGGAAAGUGCUUUCCCGGAAACCACUUUCCGGAAAACAAACACAGAUAAAAGGAAAACACUUUCCUGAAAACCAAGUCAAUUUUUUUUUUGACUAAAAUUGACUGGAAAGUGUUUUCCGUUGACUAGAAAGUGUUUUCCGCUGACCGGAAAUUGUUUUCCGUUGACCAACUUUUCUAAUGACAAACAAACACAAGAAAGUUUGGAAAAUGGUUUCCCGGAAACUACUUUCCGAGAAACAAACAAGUCCUUAGCUUCAUAAAUUUGGGAAAAUGAUGAUUUUUUAAAAUAAAAAAAAUACUUUUAUACAUAUAUAUGCAUUUAUAUUAUUUCUUAAAAAAGUGUUAAAAUUAGAACGACAAUUUAUAAUACUUCAAACAUGUUAUUGUUUCAUAGCUCAUCGAACUAGAUAUAUGUUAUAAUAUCUUAAUUACCAGCAUAGAUCAAUCUUAAUUAUAAUCCACCAUAAGUACAAUAACAUGAACAGGCCAUGAAUUAUGACACGGUGGUCUGCAACUGUAUCCUUCUGCUCUUUUGCUCUUCUUUUUCUCGACAAGUAAUUGUUGAGUGGGUCUUUGUAGCCCAGAAACCAACACUUUCUUUUGGGUGUGUGUAUAUAUAUAUUUUAUACUAUACCGCAAGUCUUGGAGACAAUCUUCCACUUUAUUAGCCAUAUAUUUGUGGGUUCCAUAUAAAUUCAACAAGAUCAAUGGCAAUUAGGAUUAUGUUUUGUUAAUAGAUUAAAUAGAUAAUUUGAUUCACGUCAUUUGUCUCUCAAUAUUAGAAUUAAUUACUCGGUUGAUUCUGAAAUUUAAUGAUAACUUUACGGAGUUAAUCUAAUGGUUAAGAAAUCAUGCUUUUAUCUUUAUUUUUUCAGCUAAACAUUUGGAAUUAACAUUCUAAAAAAUCCAUUAAAUUUCUUUAAAUAUAUCGAAUCGAUGUAUUUUUUUUUAAAGAAAAACUUAGUUUUAAUACUGGACACGCUAAAAAAAUAGGGUUUAAAUACUAUGGUGCACAACUUUGAUAAAUGUCGUUAUGAAAAAGCUUAUGCUGUCCACCUUUUCGACAAGCAUGAUACUCCUUUAAUCUUCUUUUCUAAGUAAAACAGGACACCACAGUUCCAUUUAUUUUUCCUUUUUGCUCCAAAAGACAGCUUACAAAGCCCUCCUCUCAUCAAAAGAGGAAGUAAAGUAAGAAGAAAAGGGAGAAAACAACAAUAAUCCCGAUGAUAAAGGGCCUAGCUAGCUACAGUACUGUUCCGUUUUAGGUUCCAGUCUUCUAUCAGUUGUGAGAAAAAGAAAAUGAUUUGGUUAAUGUAUUGCGUACAGCAGAAAAGAGAGGAGAAAACAUCAACAAUAAAAAAAAAAAAAGCAAAACAUUCAAGAACAGUAAUGCGGUGUUAUCAUUGCACUAACUCGUAAUGUAAAUUAUAAUUAGACAGUGAAUCCAGGAUUAAAGAGAACAUGCGUUGGAUCUAUGACGAGGAAAGAACAGAAAAUACCAAUGAAGGCCUUCGUCUAAAUAAAAUGGACAAUACACUGCAUGAAUCCACGGUGUUUUCACUCACAAAGCACAAUAAAUAACUUAGCUGAUUUAUUUAUUUAUUUAUUUUUAUUUUUUUUUUGUAACUGGGUGAUGUUUACGGUAAAAUAAACUGGAUUUCUUGUUUUUCCUUUGUUUUCACCUCUUUGCUGAGGGGAUGGAACUGUUGAAAGCUAAGCUAAUUACUUGUGAUUAAAGUCUUAGAAGAAGAUUACGUAGACCGAAGGAAGAAGGAUGAAAAAAUUGAAGAAAUUCUGUUAAAACAGUUAAAGAGUUAGUUAUAAUCGUUAUGGCAGUUAUAUCAGUUUUUACUGUUACAAAAACUGUUACAAAUCAUUCUUACAUGUGUAAGAAUCGUGACCCUCCAUUAAUGGAUGGAUGAGAUGAUCUUGAUUCCUAAAAUACCGGAAUCAGUUACAUACAAUGUAUAUAAAUGUAGAGUUUGCUGCAUUGAAAAAUAUAUAAAAAAUACACAAGAAUUUCUUCAUAAUCUUCUCUGCACAUUUAAACAUAUUCUUCUUUUUAAAACCUUCAAAAAAUAAACAUGGUAUCAGAGCUUACAAACUGAUUCCAAAGGGGCGUAAACUGUGACAAACAGAUUGAUUAAACUAUUACUUACUCAAAAAAUGGUAGGAUCAAGCUCUGUUGGAGGAGAUUUAAGAACUUCAUAGUUCAAUGGCACAAAUUAUGAUUUUUGGGCUGUAAAAAUGGAGACUAUCCUCAUAGCAUUCGAUCUAUGGGAAGUAAUAGAAGUUGGAAUCAAUUCUCAUCCAUCAUCUAAGGUUGCAACUGGAUCAUGCGAUGAAGAGAGUGAAGUUGAGCAAACUACAUUGCAUGCAUCCACGACAUCCAGAGAAGAAAAAAUCAAGAAUGCAAAGGCAUUAAGCCUUAUACAAGGAGCAUUAACAGAUGACCUCUUCCCACGAAUAAGAAAUGAAAAGACUGCAAAAGGAGCUUGGGACAUUUUGAGUAGAGAAUUCAGAGGAGAUAAAAAGGUUAGAGCUAUAAAACUUCAAGCAGUGAGAGCUGACUUUGAAUACCUGAGAAUGGCAGAAAGUGAGAGCUUAGAUGGAUAUCUAGCUAAAUUCUUUGCAACUGUGAAUAACCUGAAAUCAUUAGGAGAAGAUGUAUCAGAAAAUAGAAUUGUGCAGAAAUUGCUAAUGAGUCUAAGCAGAAGGUAUAAGUCCAUUAUGUCAAUCAUUGAGGAGACACGAGAUCUUGAUGUUCUGAGAGCAAAAGAAGUCAUUGCUUUUGUGAAAGUUUAUGAUAAGAGGGAAGAUCUACAUGAUGAAAGGGAUAAGCUAACAGGAAUAGAGAAAGCCUUUAGCAGUUUAAAGAUUGAAAACAAUCAAGCCUACAGCUCACACAAGUGUUUCCAAGGCAGACAUCCUCAAAGAUGGCAAUCACAAGACAGGAGAGGACCAAAUCCAUUUCCAAACAGAAAUGGAACCAACUAUAAUAAUGCAAGCUAAAACAACACUGCUUGGGGAAGUAGUCAAGCGAGUGUAAAGCCACAAUGCCAAGUCUGCCAGAAGCAACAUUUUGGUUUAUGUAGACACAAAGGAAAACCAAGAUGUGGAAGAUGCAACCGGUUUGGCCAUAUUGCAAAAGAUUGCGAGAGUCGCAGUCACAAACAACUAGCAAAUUAUGCCAAAGAAGAGAGAGUUACCACAGGAACUGUCGCACGUGUGCGACGUUGCGGCGAUCACCCACCACCCCAUGUAUGAAGGUGUGGUAUGUAUCUAUCUAUUGUGAAAAAUAUGGUGAGACAAGGAAUUCUUUGUCUCUUAGCGGUGAAAAAUGGACCGGAAGUCGCCACCUAGUAUUCUAGUUGUUAGGAACCCUAACUGGUCUUUAGAGAUUAGGUACGGAGACUAGUUGCGUAAAGGGAAGGUGUUAACACCCCAACUACUCCCUACCUACGGUAGGUUGCAUUGUUUUGUCUAAUAAAAUCUAAGUCAUGUUGUGGUUUCUUAUUGUUCAGAAUAUGCAUUACGUGUAAUGUCAUACCCCAGGUUCUAUUGUCCGAAAAAAAGAAUUAAAUAUCCGGAAUACACAAUACGUGUAAUAUCAUGCCCCGGAUACUAAGAGAUAAACAAAAUAAAAUUUUUGUUUGUUUUUGAAAUUUUGGCCAAUGUUCUCUUGACUUUAAUAAACUGGUUAUUAAAGCCAAAAUACAUGCAAACAUUGAUUUUUGGUGUAUAUAAAAAACACAAUAUGAUUUUUUAGCUUGGAGACACUUGGCCGUAUGCACAAAAACAUUUUUUUUCUUUUUUUUAAUUUUUUUUUGUAUUUUUGGAAAUUUUGAUGAAAACCGGGUAUUUUAAUAUCGGAUUUUGUAUUUUUAGCAACAUAAAAACACUGCUUGAUGUUAAUCAAAAUGACAUAAAAAAUACACGGAAACUUGUAAAAUUACAAACAAAUAUUUUUUUGAAUUUUUUUUAACAAAAAAAAGGGGCCAAAUUUGGCCCAACCAUCCUGGGCUGGGCCUGACCCGGCCCAUAUAUUGUGGGCUGGACUCAACCUAGCCGUAUGGGCUGGGCUGAUGUUCCAGCCUGUAACCAAUGAAAGGGGUUGGUUACUGUACGCAGCACAGUAACCAGUAAAAAAUAUAAUUAGCUAGUUAUUGUGCUAAAUCUUCAUUUGCUGCAGAACGUAAACGUUUUGCAUGCAAAUGAAGCUGAAGCGAAAAACAGACAGGGGAGGGGAGAAAAUUACCUGGAGCGAUGGCGACGCUGGCGACGCUGGCGACAACGGAUGUGGCAGGGGUGGUGGUGUAGGCGGCGACUAUUCUCUUUCCUUGUCUCCUGUUUCCUCUGUUUCUCUUCUCAGCCACCCUCUCCUCUACCUUUUUUUCAUUGUCUGCUCUUCUUCUCCUCUUUCCCUUUGUGGCUGUCAGUGGCGGUUGGAGAUGGCAGUGUCAGCGGUGGUCAAGUGGUGUGCUAUGGCGGUGGAGAGGAAGCAUGAUGGCAGCUGCGGUUGUUCUUCUCCGGUAUAAAUAUAUUCUUGUCACUUCCCUUUCUCUUCUCUGCCUCCUUUGCCGGUUUCCCUUUCCCUCCUCUGCCUUCCCCAAAUAUUCCCCUCCCUUUUUCUGUAAUACUUCCCUCAGGUGGUUCCAGCUUUCCCUUCUCUCCCAGUCUUUCUCUUUUUCGGUCUCUUUAAUAAACUCUCAGUUCUUUCUCUUGGUUUCCCUUAAAAAUCAUUCCCAGCUUCCUCCCUUUUUCUCCUCUCUUUUCUCCCUUCUUUCGGCACUCCCUCCUCUGGUAUUUAUAGGCAGAGGAGGGGAGGGCCACCUUACCCUUGUCAUGGUGCAGGGUAAGGUGAGCCGGGGAGUUGUUCGCAGGGUAUGGUGCUUUUAGUGCGAGGGCUUGGUGGUGUUAGUGAAGGGACAAGUCGGGUCGUCGUUGGGUUUUCGGGUUUUGGGACAGAGAGAGAGGGGGGAAUAGAAAACAGGGGAAAAAUGCUUCUUCUUCCCUUGCUCUUUGCGUGUGCAGGGGAAGAAGAAAGCUUAUGGUGCCGUUCACAACGACACUGUUUGCCCUUUUUUUUUUUUGAAAAUGCAUGAAACGGCGCCGUUUUGACCAAAACGCGUUGUUUCAUUUAAAUGAAAACAGGCGCCAGAAUGCAUUCAAUUUCAGAUCAGCCCCUCAAUUUGCGCGCUUUUUCAUUGUAGUCCUUGGUUUUGGAUUUCUUCGAUUAAGUCCUUAAUUGGCCACCAGACUUCAAUAUGCAUGCAAUUAAGCCCCUGAUUUGACCCAAUCAACUCUAAAAAAUAUAAUUUGACGUCAGAACUUCAAUUUCUUCCAAUUAAAACCCCAAAUUGACUUUAAAAUCAAAUUUUCUUGCAAUCAAACCCUCCAAUAAUUCAAUUAAACUUUCAAUAAAAUUUAAUUGAGUCCAUAAACAUCUGAUUUUGUACUUUUCUUCCUCUAAUAAAAUUUCCUUAAUAAAAAAGGCUCUCACUGGUCAAUGAUAUACUGUCAAAUUUCAAUUCAUUGAUAUAUUUUUGAUAUAUUUUAUUAUUAUUAUUAUUAAUUAAUUUUUUUAAAAUAAUUUUUUUUCUUGUUUCUUAUACGGGGACCAAAAAAAGGGUUGCAACAGGAACCAUGUUCUAUGCUUGCCAUUCUACAAGUCUGCAAGACAAAAAGGUAUGGUUUGUGGAUAAUGCUUACAACAACCACAUGACCUCUCAAGAAUCCGAACUAAUCAACAUCGAUAGAAUAGUAACCUGCAAAGUAAAGAUGGGCUCAGGAGACCUUGUGCAAGCAACUGGCAAAGGCACAUUGGUUGUAGAAACUCAACAUGGGAAAAGAUACAUAAAAGAGGUACUACUUGUUCCUGGAUUGGAUGAAAACCUAUUGAGUGUAGGGCAUGUGAUGGAGCAUGGUUAUUACAUUCUGUUUGGAGAUAACAAAGCAGUAAUAUUUGAAGAUGAAAGCCUCAACAAUGUUAUAGCAAUAGUGAUCAUGAGAGGAAAUCGAUGCUUCCCACUUUCACUUGAAUCCAUCACACCUGCAGCAAGGAAAGCUUCAGUGACUGAGGAUUCCUGGAUAUGGCAUAGAAGACUGGGACACUUGAAUUUUGCCAGCAUGAAGAAGAUGCAGCAGAAGGAGAUGGUAUGCGGGCUUCCUGUUCUGACAGAAGUAGAAGAUGUUUGUGCAGGCUGUGCAUCAGGCAAACAUCACAGGGAGAAAUUCGACAAAGAGCAAGCGUGGAGAGCAAGUGAUCCACUGGAAUUAAUCCACACUAAUUUGUGUGGACCAAUGCAGAAUGAAUCCAUAGGAGGAAAUAGAUACUUUAUCACAUUCAUUGACGAUUACUCAAGAAUGUGUUGGGUAUAUUUCCUCAGAAACAAAUCUGAUGCACUCAAUGUGUUCAAGAAAUUUAAGGCAUUUAUUGAGUUGCAAAGUGGAUAUAAAUUAAAGAAGCUGAUAAGUGACAGAGGUAAUGAAUAUACUUCAAAAGAGUUUAAAGAAUUCUGUGUAAAACAAGGAACGGAGAGGCAACUGACAGUUUGAUACUCUCCUUAAUAGAAUGGAGUUGCAGAGAGGAGAAAUAGAACAAUUUGUGAAAUGGCAAGAUCCAUGCUAAUAGAGAAAGAAAUGUCAAUAAUCUUCUGGGCAGAAGCUGUGAAUACAACUGUGUAUAUUCAGAAAAGAUGUUACACAACAUCUGUUACUGAAAAGACUCCUUUUGAAGCCUUUACGGGAAGGAAGCCAGGAAUCAAGCAUCUAAAGGUGUUCGGUUGCUUGUGCUACACACAUAUCCCAUCAUCACUAAGGCAGAAAUGGGAUAGCAAAGCUGGAAAGAGAGUGUUUGUUGGGUAUGGUAGCUGUGAGAAAGGGUAUAGAAUAUAUGACCUGAAAACUGAGAAGAUUGUUCUUUCAAGAAGUGUGAUUUUCAGUGAAGAUAGAGCAUGGAAUUGGGAAAGAAAUUUGAUGAACCAAAGCCACUUGUCUUUCAAUCAUGAAGGGGGUGAAGUUGAAGGUGAAAAUUCUGAGGAACACUCUGCUGCAGUCCAACCCGAUAAUGUUGAACAUUGCAAUCAAAAUUCUACAGUUGGAGAGUUAGUUGAGAAGAUUGACAGUGAUAACAGUCAACAAUCUUCACCGAGCUCUACUCUAGUAAAAUUAAAAACCUUGGAAGACAUACAUGCAAGGUGUCACAUGUGCAUCAUAGAACCUGAGAACUAUCAAGAAGCUUUUGGAAAUAAAGCCUGGCAGAAAGCUAUGAAGGAAGAAUUGGAAGUGAUAGAGCAGAACAAUACUUGGGAAUUGGUGGAGAGACCAAGUGAUAAAACUGUGAUAGGAGUGAAAUGGGUGUACAAAACUAAGCUUCAUCUUGAUGGAACAGUUCAAAAACAUAAGGCUCGCCUUGUAGCAAAAGGAUAUGCACAAAAAUCCAGAAUUGACUAAAAUGAAACAUUUGCACCAGUAGCAAGGUUAGACAUAAUCCGGACUCUCAUUGCACUUACAACACAAAAGGGGUGGAAAUUGUUUCAAUUGGAUGUUAAAUCAGCAUUCCUAAAUGGUGUUCUUAAAGAAGAAGUAUAUGUUGAGCAGCCUGAAGGGUUUGAAGUAAAGAAUGCAAGACACAAAGUUUACAAACUAAAGAAGGCCUUGUAUGGAUUAAAGCAGGUACCGAGGGCCUCGUAUAGUGAAAUUGAUGCAUACCUCUCUAUGUGCAAAUUCAAAAGGAGCACAAGUGAAGCUACUUUGUAUACAAGAUCAGACAUGGAAGGUAAUUUGAUCAUUGUCUCAAUCUAUGUUGAUGACAUUGUGUACACUGGCAGCAAUGAGAGGAUGCUCAGUGAAUUUAAAAAGGAAAUGAUGCAAAGGUAUGAGAUGUCUGAUCUUGGAAUCCUUUAUCAUUUUAUUGGCAUGAGAAUACUACAAACCAAUCAAGGGGUGUUUAUUCAUCAAGGGAAAUAUGCCAAAUCCCUGCUUAGUAAGUUUGGACUUGAUGAUUGCAAACCAGUCUCCAUUCCCUUGGCCACUGGUGAGAAGCUGAAGAAGGUGGAUGGGAGUGAGUUGGCUGAUGAAGAACUUUAUAGAAAAAUAACAGGAAGUUUACUAUAUUUGACAGCUACAAGACCUGAUCUAAUGUAUGUUGCAAGUUUAUUAUCACGGUUCAUGGCUGGACUUACCAAGAUUCACAUGGGAGCUGCAAAAAGAGUUCUAAGAUAUGUGCAAGGAACUCUCAGCUAUGUGAUUGAAUAUGUAAGGGAUCAAUCAGCAACUCUCAUUGGAUUUUAUGAUGCAGAUUGGGCAAGAAGUAAAGAUGAUAGCAAGAGCACUUCGGGCUAUGCAUUUAGCUUUGGAAGUGGAGCAUUCUCCUGGUCUUAUAUGAAACAAAACACAAUAGCAUUAUCAACUUUAGAAGCUGAGUAUGUCUCAGCAUCUGAAGCAACUACUCAGGCCAUUUGGUUACGGUUUGUUCUUGAUGAUUUUGGUAAAAUGCAAGCUAAGGCAACACCCUUGUUCUGUGAUAAUAUGUCAACAAUUUCAAUGGCCAAAAAUCUAGUUUUUCAUCAAAGAACAAGACACAUAAACAUGAAGUAUCAUUUCAUAAGGGAGGCUUUGCAAGAAGGAGUAAUUAAUGUGAAGUUCUGCAGAAGUGAAGAACAACUUGCAGACAUCUUCACAAAAGCACUACCCAGAGACAGAUUCAAGAAACUAAGACUAAAUCUUGGAGUUAAAUCAGUAAACAGCUUAGGAGAUGUUGCUGAAAGCUAAGCUGAUUACUUGUGAUUGAAGUCUUAGAAGAAGACUACGUAGACUGAAGGAAGAAGGAUGAAGAAAUUGAAAAAAUUCUGUUAAAACAGUUAAAGAGUCAGUUAAAAUUGUUAUGACAGUUAUAUCAGUUUUUACUGUUACAAAAACUGUUACAAAUCAUUCUUACAUGUGUAAGAAUCGUGACCCUCCAUUAGUGGAUAGAUGAGAUGAUCUUGAUUCCUAAAAUACCGGAAUCAGUUACAUAUAAUAUAUAUAUAAAAGCAGAGUUUGCUGCAUUGAAAAAUAUAUAGAAAAUACACAAGAAUUUCUUCAUCUUCUCUGCACAUUUAAGCAUAUUCUUCUUCUCAAAACCUUUAAAAAAAUAAACAGGAACUGUGGUGCUGCUCAAGUCAUUGUCAAACAAGUGAGACAAGCAUUAAAGAACUCUAAAACGCGUGGGAAAAUCACUGUAGCAGCUGUGAUUUUUUUUUUUUUUUUUUAUAGAAGGUAGUUUUUUUUUUUUUACAUGUUUUUUUUUUUUUUUUUCCUGUAGCAGUUUUUUAACUAUAGCUUAUUAUUAUUUUUUUUUUUUUGCUUUUGUUUCUUCUUUUUUUUGUUACAUGUUUUUUUUUUUUUUACCUAAAAUUGACUUCUUUGUCUUUGUUUUUUUUCUUUUUUUUAAUUUUUUUUUCAAAAUUAUCUUUACUAAUUUUUUUAAAUAUUAAGCUGGUUAAAAAUUUAACUAUAUAGUUUUUUUCUUUAAAACAUUGUGGAUUGCUAUAAUAUUCUCAUACAUUGGUUUUUUUUCUUUUUAUGAUUUCUUUAGAAGAGCUCGAGACAUAUAUGAAAUAUCAACAUCUAAUCUCUGGUAUUGGAUAAAGCUUUCAGUAUGUGGAGAACAAUCAAACGAGAAUUGACAGGGAAUUGAGUGAUCAUGUUAAAGUUACGGAGCAUGCGAAGAAGAGGCCCACUGAGGCCAGAAAGCGCAGCUGGAGAUAAAAAUGGUCAGGAAAGUAAAGGAGGGAAGAAAAAGCUCUCUCUGGUUCUUCCUCGAACAGUAAGUAGUCUUCUUUUUUUUUUUUACCAAAAUUCCUCUCCUCUGGACUGAUCAUCCACCUCUCAUCGGUUCCAUGCUGUUUUUUUUUUUUUUUUUUUCAUAAUUAUAUGUCCACUGUACUAAAUCACCUCGUUUGAUCCCACAGCUUCACCCCUCGACUUGAUUUCGAAUAUGGUGAAGAUGAGUCAAGGGAUCCUCCUCUAGCAUUGGAUGCUUUGCGAUGUUGAUUUCGAUGGCUUACACAUGCUGUCUGCUCAUAAUUUCUUAUAUUCGUUUCAACAAUAAGAUUACGCCGAGUAAUCUCCAUCCCUCGAAAUCAUAGUAUUGCCCGAGUCAAAAAGCAUGAUUGAUUACCGAGCAAUACUAUCUCGACCACUGCAAAACACACUCUUGAAUUCCUGAAAAGCAGCAUGUCCUCGUGUAGGGCAUUACUACAUGCAUGAAAGUAUUAAGAAACCGGGAUCUUUGAGUAGAUCUUUCAAGUGGGAUAGGACCCACUUAAAAAAAUAGCAAGGCAAAAUUGAGGCCCAUGUGUAAGCAUACAAGGACAUCCAUUAAAGCCCAUGAGUAGAUCUUUCACUAAUUUUUAUUUAUCAAUUUUCCCAUAAAUUAUCUUGAUUUUCCAGUUCCCGUUAAAAUUAUUUAAUGAAAAACGUUAAGUACUUGUAAAAUGAUGCUAUUUUUUUAAUAGAAAAAAAGUGCAAUUUAGAAUAUAUUUUUUAAUAAAAACAUAAUUGAAAAGCCUUAAAGAUGAAUGCAAGUCGUUAACAAAACAAGUAGUUUUUAAAGUUUAAGAGUAAAAUCAGUAUGCAAAAUUAUGUAAUGACAAAAUUAAGACUAUUGAGAGUGUUUCUGAGACUUCGGCUUUUCUUCUUUGAAGCUUCGACGUAAGUGCUUUGGAGGGUGAGAGAAAUGGAGGAGAGAAGGGUUGACUAGCUGUAAACCAAUUAUUGACCCAGAGGGGUUCCUUUUGAGGUCACCAAAUUUCCACGAAAGAGAUGAAAUCACCUAUAAGCCCAAGCUCAAAGGUUACAGAAUGUAAAAAAAGGCAAGCUAAUCGUUGUUCUCUUAUUGAGCAAAAAGCAAAGCAAACAUGGGCAGGAGGACAGCUUCUUGCUCUCUGUUUCUGUUUUUCACUCUUUUCACAACCUUGCAGAGUCCAAUUCUGGCUGCAAAAAAGGCAAGCUAGCAUGCAUUAAUGUUGUCUGAUCGUUUAGUCUUUCAAGUUACAUUUGCAAUCUCUCUUAUGUUAUAAUUCUGCUACUGACAGUGAUACCCGUGUCUGUGUACGUGCAGUCUUAUGUGGUUUACCUUGGGAGACAUUCUUAUGCUUCUGAACCUUCCACCACUGACCUGGAUAGGGUAGCCGAUGCCCAUCAUGAACUUUUGGGUUCUUGUAUGAAGAGGUGGUGAUGCAGUCCUGAAUAUUUCUGCUGUGUGAUCAGUGCUGUAUUUGGUUGUUCUAAUACUGAUGAUUAAGUUUGAACUCGUUAUGACAGCAAGGAGAAGGCGAAACAAGCCAUCUUUUACUCCUACACUCGCUAUAUCAACGGUUUUGCAGCAGUACUUGAAGAUGAAGAAGCAGCUGAGAUUUCAAGUAUAUAUAAUACUAUUAAAAUUGUUCAGCUUGUAUAUCGUGCAAUCCUUGGUACUAUUACAAUUAUGGUCUUGUUAAUACGUUUUCAGAGCAUCCAGAAGUUGUAUCAGUUUCUCGAAACCACAUAAGUCAAUUACACACAACAAAUUCUUGGGGCUUUCUUGGACUGGAAAGAAAUGGAGAAAUUCCAGCUGAUUCUAUGUGGCUAAAGGCAAGAUUUGGCGAAGACGUAAUUAUCGGGACCCUUGAUACUGGUAAUUAUAAUUUUACAUGUCUGUGUACAUGCGUAGAACUGGUCAAGUCUCCUUCAUAUCAUUUCAUCUUCUUAAUUUAAAUGUUUCUUGCAUUCAAUUAUUUUGGACCAGGUACAGCUACAUUGCAUCUGAAAGAAAAAUCUCCAAUGAUGGUAAAUUUUUGAUCUAUUUUUCUUGACUGUGCAUGACGCUAGGUGUUUGGCCGGAAUCCGAAAGCUUCAAUGAUGAAGGGAUGGGGCCUGUUCCAUCUAAAUGGAAGGGAUACUGUGAUCCAAAUGAUGGGAUUAAAUGCAACAGGUACUUUAAUUUCUUUCUCAAGGCCAGAGCACUUUUCUUGACCCGAACUACUCAUUUUGCCUCUGAUAAUGAACCGCAGACAAAUUCUUCUGUUUCCUAUAGUAAGAUCAGUAACAUAAAAGAUAUGUUGUUAUUAGCAGGAAACUUAUAGGAGCAAGGUACUUUAGCAAAGGCUACGAAGCAGAAACACAUGAUUCUUCAAACCACACCGCGCGAGAUUAUGAUGGCCAUGGAACCCACACUCUAUCCACUGCUGGAGGUCGUUUUGUUUCGGGGGCAACCUUCCUUGGUUCAGCUUAUGGAACAGCUAAGGGAGGUUCGCCCAACUCGCGAGUCGCUUCAUACAAGGUCUGCUGGCACGGCUGUAGCGAUGCUGAUGUGUUGGCUGGCUAUGAAGCUGCUAUUCAUGAUGGGGUCGAUAUCCUCUCCGUGUCACUUGGAUCCGAUCCGAGAGAAUACUUUACUCAUGGGAAUGCAAUUGGAGCAUUUCUUGCAAUGGAGAACGGGAUUGUUGUAGUUGCCGCCGCUGGAAAUGAUGGAC
rnacentral:lncRNA from 1 species